GGGAGAAAAGUAUCGAGUAAACGUUCACACUAUUUUUUUUUAAAAAACCAAACAAUGUUAACGCGUAAGAAUAUUGCUUAAAAAUGUUACCUCUUAUAAUUCAGCUCACCCUAUGCUCCAAAUAACUGAAUUUUCACAAAAGGGGCGUUUAAACUUUCUUUUUGCUCCUUAUGGGGGCGGCAGCGUUACAAAGGUUGAGAACCUAUGUACUAUACCAUAGUUUAUUGCUUUUGACAUGAAGAAGAGUUAGACAUUCCUCUAUGGGCUGUCGCGCCACUGAGUUCAGUUUUUAGUACAUCGUGUAACAUAUCAUGUAAACAAGAAAAAGAAAAAAAACCGAGAGCAAUAUUAUUUUUUACCAGAUAACGGCCUAAUUGCGAGGACAUUAUGGUCAUGGAUA